ACCACCAUCAAAAGCGAACCAACAAUUUUAUUCUCAAAAUUCAGUGGUUUAGGGUGAUUUUUGGGGUGUUCCAAACGUAGGAAGCAAAAAGGCAAAGGGCAAAGGAGAUGAACCUGUCAUCUAUACCUUGAUGGAACUCCUCAAAGAUCCCACAAUUGUAGCCAGGUUCUGAUUGGGAUGUAUGCAUAAACUACCAAGUUGACCAAAUUUAAUCCUAGCAGUUGCACCGCUUUU
rnacentral:lncRNA from 1 species